GCCAGACUAGACUGGAUGAGGAGCAUGGAUCUGUAAGAAGUGUUUUCUCUGUCUUCUAAGACCCUACACAUGUGUUAAAAAGAAACAAGUGGCGCAUGAUAAAAGAAAUUAGUACCAUAAUUUUGGAAAUAAGAUGAGGAGAUGACUAGAGCUGGCUUUUAUGUUCAGAGAGUUUUUUGCAUUGAAGCUAAAGAUCAUACGGCAUCUAGUGUUUUCUUAAAUGAUGCAAAAAUUAUAAUAGACUGAGGUAGAGAAAUAAAUACAACCGGAGGAUGUCCUCACAUAUCAGAAUACAGAGGUGGGAAAUAAUUAUAACAUCAUUCUCCUUUUUUUUUAAUAGGGUUUCUAACAGUCAAAGCACAUUAAUAUUUAUUGACACAUUUGGCUCUUAACGUGUGAGAGAGCAAAGGUAUGAAAAUGCAGAAGAGGAAAAUAAAUUAUCUUCGACUUCAGGCAAUACUCCAAGUGGAAACAAGCAAUAAAGAUCUAUAUUUCCCCACCAAUAUGAAAUUAUGGCCACGUCACCAAAUCUAGUAAGUCAACUAUUGCUUUCAGUUUUAAUUAACUUUUUAAAAGUGAUCUUUUUA
rnacentral:lncRNA from 1 species